GUUCUUCCAUGAAAGUCAAGCCGUGCGUAUCAUAAUGUUAAAGAAUGUCAGAAGAUACUGAGACGAGAAGGAUCCAAAAGCUGAGGGAGGGGGGAACUGAGGCAGAGGUGAUUAGGAGUACCAAGCACUGCCACUUCAGGUCACAAGAGCAAUACUUGGCCCUCACGACACUACAACAGGCAGUGGACACGCAGCUCCGAGCGGCACCGGUCCUCCCUGUCAGGUUUCCCUCAAAAACUUCCCAAGUUUCCUUAUGACAACUAUAGCCAAACCUUAAGGAAGCUACUGCAGCAAAAGGAAAGGGCAACAGGACCAUGGGAACAAGGUUUUGAGGCUGGAAUGAUGGGCGAGUAUUUGAAUCCACGCGAGGAAGGAAAGAUGGAAGGCAGAGAGAAGUCCCCUACUCGGGUGCAGUGGUUUUCCAACAGUGUUCCAGGAAGUGACAAGUGUAGGAAGCGUCCUGGAGGGUUCCAAAAUGUGGGUGGAGAGGGCACAGGUUUACCUCGUAACCAUUUUUGUCACUUUCCAAACUUGUCCCACCACCUACCUUUCUGAGGGUAAAUGAGUCCCCAUUUUAGAGAAAAAACCGUAUCAGAGUUCAGCUGCUGUCUUGUUAAAGAGACACUGAGCAACGUCUCAGUCCUUACUGGGUGUCACUGUUCUCUAAGUACCUUCACGUAAUAACUCAUUUUCAAUCCUCCCAACUCCGAGGCCUGUAGGUUCCCAUUUUCCUAUGUGGAAACUGAAGCACACGGAAUUUAAGUGGCCUACUCAAGUUCCCAGUGCUUAAAAACAAGGGAGCUGGGGUUGGAACCCAGGCGGCUGACCUCUUCAGCACUAGGACAGGAUGGCUGGUCCCAGGUCAAAAGCUCGAGGGCAACAGAGGGAUCACCUUCAACUCAUUGUUUUAUUAAUCAAAUGGCUAAAACGAAGAGAAAGGGUUAACCCAACAUCCGACAGAGGGGGAAUCGAGGUGGAAAAGUCAUGAAUAAAUAAAAUCUUAAAAAAAAAAAAAAAGAGAGA
rnacentral:lncRNA from 1 species